AGGUGAUAGGAGCAGCAAGCAACAAUAGGGAACCAACAGGAUCUUUUGUAUGAAGAUUCGCAGGUUUUGUUCAGCUACUACAGAUUUCGGAAUCAGGAAUUGGCAACAGCCUAUUACAGUAAUGCUUCCUCUACCCGUCAUUCACUUGACCUGGAGAGAGGUUUCAUGCUCUCCUAUUUGUGAUCUAUGGGAUUUGCAUGUAGUUGGCUGUAUAUGUGUGAUAGGUGGCACCACCUGGCAAGCUGCGAUGGAGACACACUAGAGGCGGCCAUGACAUCCUAGCGACUGUUGCCUCAGGCGGAGAUCCAUGUGAGUUGGCCGUCGUCUUUAGGGCGUGAGGCUCCCCCUCAACUGGCGCACCAAGUUCUCCCCUGAUUGCGACGAGCGGUGCUCUCCCGCGAUGUGGCUUCUUUCCCUGAAUCCUGGCCGUUCCUCUGUCAGGAAUAACAGCCCAACAUGUGCAUCCGUGGUAAACGAUCUUUGUACAGCACUGCGUCGUCGAACUCUUCGCAAGUCUCCAGGCAGAGCCGGCCUGGAGGUCCUUCGAUCACAACCCAAGACCAGCGCAGUUUGACAAGAGCGCGACAGCAUGUGGAUUAUUAGAUGACCACUACUGCGACCAUGCAGCUUUGUUAUUUUUAGAUGACCUCUCUUGCCAAUUUUAGUGCCAAUCGAGCCUCAAAACGGCACUACAAAAUUCAGAAAUAAGCGAAUUUUUCUUGGUGAAUGCAAAAUUCAGAAAGUGAAUGCUUGUUGGCGACUACAAAAAUCUGAUCAAAACAACUGUUUAAUUUCUUUUGGAGAAUGAUAUUGUUGAGGUUCAUGUGGGUUUGUAAUCUGAGA